GCCUGGCUGGCUCAGUUGGUUGAGCAUGUGACUCUUGAUCUCGGCUUUGUGAGUUCAAGUCCCACAUUGGGCA
rnacentral:tRNA from 1 species